rnacentral:rRNA from 1 species
GAUGAACGCUAGCGGCAGGCCUAAUACAUGCAAGUCGGACGGGAUCCAUUGAUAGCUUGCUAUCGAUGGUGAGAGUGGCGCACGGGUGCGUAACGCGUGAGCAACCUGCCUCCAUCAGGGGGAUAGCCUCUCGAAAGAGUGAUUAACACCGCAUAAUAUCAACAGUUCGCAUGUUCAGUUGAUUAACUAUUUAUAGGAUUGAGAUGGGCUCGCGUGACAUUAGCUAGUUGGUAGGGUGACGGCUUACCAAGGCGACGCUGACUAGGGGCUCUGAGAGUAGGAGCCCUGACACUGGUACUGAGAAAAGGACCAGACUCCUACGGGAGGCAGCAGUAAGGGAGAUUGGACAAUGGGCGGAAGCCUGAACCAGCCAAGCCGCGUGCAGGAUGACUGCCCUAUGGAUUGUAACCUGCUUUUGUCCAGGAAUAUUCCUAAAUACGAGUAUUUAGCUGAAUGUAAUGGAAGAAUAAGGAUCGGCUAACUCCGUG